CACGUAGGUGGCAAGCGUUAUCCGGAAUUACUGGGCGUAAAGGGCACGCAGGCGGCGAGAUAAGUCUGAUGUGAAAGCUCCUGGCUUAACUGGGAGAGGUCAUUGGAAACUGUCUGGCUUGAAGAAAUGAGAGGAGUGCGGAAUCUCCGGUGUAGUGGUGGAAUGCUUAGAUAUCGGAGGGAACACCAGUGGCGAAGGCGGCACUCUGGCAUUAUCUUGACGCUGAUGUGCGAAAGCGUGGGGAGCGAACGGG
rnacentral:rRNA from 1 species